GUCUACGGCCAUGCCACCCUGAACAAGCCCAAUCCAGUAUGAUCUUGGAAACUAAGCAGGGUCAGGCCUCGUUAGUACUUGGAUGGGAGACCAUCUAGGAAGACCAGGUGCUAUAGGCC
rnacentral:rRNA from 1 species